GAUGAACGCUGGCGGCGUGCCUAAUACAUGCAAGUCGAGCGAACAGACGAGGAGCUUGCUCCUCUGACGUUAGCGGCGGACGGGUGAGUAACACGUGGAUAACCUACCUAUAAGACUGGGAUAACUUUGGGAAACCGGAGCUAAUACCGGAUAAUAUAUUGAACCGCAUGGUUCAAUAGUGAAAGACGGUUUUGCUGUCACUUAUAGAUGGAUCCGCGCCGCAUUAGCUAGUUGGUAAGGUAACGGCUUACCAAGGCAACGAUGCGUAGCCGACCUGAGAGGGUGAUCGGCCACACUGGAACUGAGACACGGUCCAGACUCCUACGGGAGGCAGCAGUAGAGAAUCUUCCGCAAUGGGCGAAAGCCUGACGGAGCAACGCCGCGUGAGUGAUGAAGGUCUUCGGAUCGUAAAACUCUGUUAUUAGGGAAGAACAAAUGUGUAAGUAACUAUGCACGUCUUGACGGUACCUAAUCAGAAAGCCACGGCUAACUACGUG
rnacentral:rRNA from 1 species